AGGAAUGUAUAGCUAUAGCUGGUUGCAUCAUUGUAAACAUGAUGCAAGAUUGACUAUGUUGAAUAAAAUUCUAGGUAGAGUUAUGAUAAUGACAUUUUCUGCCUAUGUGUCUUGACCAAAUUACGUGCCAGCAGUCGCGGUAAUACGUAGAAGACUAGUGUUAUUCAUGUUUUCGGUUUAAAGGGUACCUAGACGGCAGAUCAAGCUUUCCGAGAAGAAAUAAAAGGGGAAAAAUAUGAUAAUAAUAAAAAGGACUAAUUUGCUAGAGUUACUUACGAGGGGGUUUUAAAGUACUGCUGGUGUAGAGAUGAAAUUCUAUCAUACCUCUUUUCGAAAGAAAAAUAAUGGCACAGGUAUAGGCGAAGGCAUCCCCUUAUGAGAUAACUGACGUUGAGGGACGAAGGCUUUAUAUAACGAACAGGAUUAGGUACCCUAGUAGUGGAAGCAGUAAAUGAUGAAUGUCAUAGAUUAGAUUAGUUUAUUCUAUAAAUGAAAGUGUAAGCAUUCCACCUCAUGAGUAAUUUGGCAACAUUGGAAUUGAAAUCAUUAGACCGUUUCUGAAACCAGUAGUGAAGUAUGUUGUUUAAUUUGAUGAUCCGCAAAAAACCUUACCACAAUUUGAAUAUUUAUAUUAUGCUUAUUGUACUUUUAUUAAUUUUAUUUAUGCAUCUAGGCAUAGAGAAAAUUAAUAAAGAGGCAAUAAGGUAUAUUUACAAGCGUUGCACGGCUGUCUUCAGUUAAUGUCGCGAGAUUUUGGUUAGAUCCAUUAAAUUAACGUAAACCCUUACUUUAUUUUU
rnacentral:rRNA from 1 species